CCCUGAUUGGCUGUACGUAGAGAGUGCCCCUGUACCCUGAUUGGCUGUACGUAGAGAGUGCCCCUGUACCCUGAUUGGCUGUACGUAGAGAGUGCCCCUGUACCCUGAUUGGCUGUACGUAGAGAGUGCCCCUGUACCCUGAUUGGCUGUACGUAGAGAGUGCCCCUGUACCCUGAUUGGCUGUACGUAGAGAGUGCCCCUGUACCCUGAUUGGCUGUACGUAGAGAGUGCCCCUGUACCCUGAUUGGCUGUACGUAGAGAGUGCCCCUGUACCCUGAUUGGCUGUACGUAGAGAGCGCCCCUGUACCCUGAUUGGCUGUACGUAGAGAGCGCCCCUGUACCCUGAUUGGCUGUACGUAGAGAGUGCCCCUGUACCCUGAUUGGCUGUACGUAGAGAGUGCCCCUGUACCCUGAUUGGCUGUAUGUAGAGAGUGCCCCUGUACCCUGAUUGGCUGUACGUAGAGAGUGCCCCUGUACCCUGAUUGGCUGUACGUAGAGAGUGCCCCUGUACCCUGAUUGGCUGUACGUAGAGAGUGCCCCUGUACCCUGAUUGGCUGUACGUAGAGAGUGCCCCUGUACC